GAUGAACGCUAGCUACAGGCUUAACACAUGCAAGUCGAGGGGCAGCAUGGUCUUAGCUUGCUAAGGCCGAUGGCGACCGGCGCACGGGUGAGUAACACGUAUCCAACCUGCCGUCUACUCUUGGACAGCCUUCUGAAAGGAAGAUUAAUACAAGAUGGCAUCAUGAGUUCACAUGUUCACAUGAUUAAAGGUUUUCCGGUAGACGAUGGGGAUGCGUUCCAUUAGAUAGUAGGCGGGGUAACGGACCACCUAGUCUUCGAUGGGUAGGGGUUCUGAGAGGAAGGUCCCCCACAUUGGAACUGAGACACGGUCCAAACUCGUACGGGAGGCAGCAGUGAGGAAUAUUGGUCAAUGGGCGAGAGCCUGAACCAGCCAAGGAGCGUGAAGGAUGACUGCCCUAUGGGUUGUAAACUUCUUUUAUAAAGGAAUAAAGUCGGGUAUGUAUACCCGUUUGCAUGUACUUUAUGAAUAAGGAUCGGCUAACUCCGU
rnacentral:rRNA from 1 species